rnacentral:rRNA from 1 species
AUGAAUGCUUGCGAAAAGAAGUGGGAAGAGAUAAUAUACUGGGUGCUAAUUCCGUUGGUGGGAGUCAUGUACCCCAAGGACAUUGCCAAUAGCCAUCCAUGGUUCGAAGGUGGACUAAUCAAUAUAACCAACAUUUGCAAUGGUAAAAAGCUUGCUGGAAUCUAUGAGGACCAAACUGAGCUUCUUGCUCUACCCGGGGAACCCCAAAUAACACAAAUGGUUGCCGAGGCCCUAUCGCGGGUGACCACCAUGUUUUACAGUGAGAAGACGACCGAGAUACUUACAGGAAAGGAAAUAAGGAUGGCAUGGUCCACGUGUGGGCCUGACACCACAGAACCUGACUGCAUGGUCAAUGCCAAGUCCAGAUGCUGUAAGGAUGCAAGUUUUGGAAAGACAAAUGCUACUGAUAGCGUAUUAGGUAGACGGGAUUUCAUGGAAGAUGGUUCUAUAGCUUCAAACAGAUCAGUGGUUACUGAAUCAGUCUCAAAAUCUUGUUCCUCCGCAGAAGCGAAAGAUGAAGAUGCUGCAAUCGCAGCUGAACUCAAAUGGGAAGAGCAGUCAUCUAAGAGAGGACAAGCUGCUGGAAGGUUUACAUCAGGACACCAUAAUGGCCAUUUCAUUCAGCAUUGCCCGCAGGAAAAGCAGACACCUCCACCUGGCUAUACCUGCAACGUGCAUAUGCCAGAUUCCAGGGCAUUUUAUUCAGCAUUGCCCAACUAUUGGGGAUCCCAAAUUUGA